rnacentral:rRNA from 1 species
AUGGCGCACGAUGAAGUUGAUCAUCGCGGAGUGCACACAACUCAGGAGGGAAAGAGUUUGGGCGUUUUCAUCUGCUGGCUUCUGGGCAACGGAUGCCUCUUCGGGUACAACAACAUGCUCACCAUCGAAGAUUACUUCGUCCACCUCUUCCCAGUAUAA